rnacentral:rRNA from 1 species
GACGAACGCUGGCGGCGUGCUUAACACAUGCAAGUCGAGCGGAAAGGCCCUUCGGGGUACUCGAGCGGCGAACGGGUGAGUAACACGUGAGUAACCUGCCCCAGACUUUGGGAUAACCCUCGGAAACGGGGGCUAAUACCAGAUACGACACAGCUUCGCAUGGGGUCUGUGUGGAAAGUUUUUCGGUUUGGGAUGGGCUCGCGGCCUAUCAGCUUGUUGGUGGGGUGAUGGCCUACCAAGGCGACGACGGGUAGCCGGCCUGAGAGGGCGACCGGCCACACUGGGACUGAGACACGGCCCAGACUCCUACGGGAGGCAGCAGUGGGGAAUAUUGCACAAUGGGCGGAAGCCUGAUGCAGCGACGCCGCGUGAGGGAUGACGGCCUUCGGGUUGUAAACCUCUUUCAGCAGGGACGAAGCGUAAGUGACGGUACCUGCAGAAGAAGCGCCGGCCAACUACGUG